rnacentral:misc_RNA from 1 species
UAAGAUUCCUUUUCCUAUCCAUUCAAAUAUUUAAUGAUUGUUGAUAUUUUGAAGGGUGGCUUCACAGCUUACUUCAUGGAUAGAGUUCCAAACACAGAAACAAGUAGAGUUUCUUAGUCAAAACAACACUUGUUUUAUCCUUAAAAACACAGUUACACCUCAACAAAUAUAGGUUGAGGGUUGUUCCACCAACCAACAUCAUCUUUGCUUUUCAACUCUUUUGUCUUUUUCUUAUAUUUUCUUUUAAUCCCGCUUAUUCCUUUCCCACUUUCAGAGUCUGAAUGUCAAAAUGAAAUCAAUCUUUUUUCAACUCAAUUAUGAAGCUUUUCUUACCCUAAUCAAACCCUUAAUUACAUUCUAUGUGUUAGCCUUUUUAGUUACUGUUUUUCCACAUGGUUUGAAUUCUAGUAGAUUUGUCAGCUCUUGUACAUGUGCCUUCAGUUUGCUUCCUCAUCAGUGGGUUCCAUGAAUGACAAUUAUUUGCAGGCCUGGUCAAAUUUUGCUAUUGUGUG